ACUCCUACGGGAGGCAGCAGUAGGGAAUCUUCCACAAUGGGCGCAAGCCUGAUGGAGCAACACCGCGUGAGUGAAGAAGGGUUUCGGCUCGUAAAGCUCUGUUGUUAAAGAAGAACACGUAUGAGAGUAACUGUUCAUACGUUGACGGUAUUUAACCAGAAAGUCACGGCUAACUACGUGCCAGCAGCCGCGGUAAUACGUAGGUGGCAAGCGUUAUCCGGAUUUAUUGGGCGUAAAGAGAGUGCAGGCGGUUUUCUAAGUCUGAUGUGAAAGCCUUCGGCUUAACCGGAGAAGUGCAUCGGAAACUGGAUAACUUGAGUGCAGAAGAGGGUAGUGGAACUCCAUGUGUAGCGGUGGAAUGCGUAGAUAUAUGGAAGAACACCAGUGGCGAAGGCGGCUACCUGGUCUGCAACUGACGCUGAGACUCGAAAGCAGUGGGUAGCGAACAGGAUUAGAUACCCUGGUAGGAUAGCG
rnacentral:rRNA from 1 species